UCUUCAGGUUGGAUCAUUUGAAGAAUCUGAAUCCUUUAUGGCUCAAAAUGAUCUUAUUAGAGGGAAUGAAACCAUGGAGUCAAAAUUAUGUUGUUGAAAUUGAAAAUUUGAGGCUCUGAAUAAAUCUACGAACACAAGAAUGAAUAGACUCAGAGAAAAUGCUAUUAUUACAGAGUUAAUAAAAAGCAAGAGAAAAUUCAGAGCCAGCUAUAUCACAGCAGCAGAGUAAAAGCAAACAGCUGGUACAUAAACAUGAUUGGAGAUUCAUUAGAUCAUGAAUAUAUAUUCACACUUACCUGACAUUCCAAGGUGAGAAAGUUUUAGUUAUUGUCAGUGCUAUAGAGUUGCAAUAGCUCAUUGGACCCAAAGCUGCUUGAAAUAUUAUAAACAAGACAUCUAAGGUAUCCUUAAGGAGAAAAAGGAAACAACAGUAGAUGAAUCCAAAAAUAUAAAAAAAUAAAUAAACAAAUGAAGCUAUCCA
rnacentral:lncRNA from 1 species